rnacentral:rRNA from 1 species
UCGCUACUACCGAUUGAAUGGCUUAGUGAGCUCGUUGGACUGUGGCGCUCCGUUGGCAACUUCGGAGCGCUCUCGGGAAGACGAUCAAACUUGAUCAUUUAGAGGAAGUAA